AUGACCGUGGGGUACAGCCCCGGCUGCGGGGUACAACCAUGACCACAGGGUACAGCCUCGGCCAUGGGCACCGCAGCAGCGGUGCAUGCCUUCCCCUGGGAGCCAAAAAUACACCGGCUUAGAGAGCCGCAGAAAUCUACAUAUAUUGGAUUUCAAGUGUUCUUGUCUUGCUAAUUCUUAAUUCAGACCAAGCCGUUGAUGAUGUUUAUACUAAGAGCAGCCACAUGUCCUUUGUUUCAAGGAACGGUACAUGCUGCCAGGGAAUUGCCACGCUCCUGGAGAAGCCUCACUAAAAAUUCUUCUAGCAUAACAGAAUAUACAAAACAAUACUCAUCAUAAACCUGAACUUGGUAUUAAAAAUCUCCCGUUGAUGUCAGAUAGCUGGAGAUGCUGGUUUGCAUUUGCAGUAUUUGAGCUGUAAAUGUUAGUGAGCAGUUUCCAGCCGAGACACAGACAGUGCUGAGCUCCGCACUUCUCUGGUUCGCUUUGGUUUACUACACAAUCGCAAAGUCAUAAAAGAUCGGUCGCUUUGCAGGAUCGAUGGAUCAGUUUUAUCUACAUAUCUACGUAUUAUCAGGUGGAAACACGCACCCGCAGGCAGGGACGGGGCCGUCCCACAGCACAAUGAAGUGCUGGCUGCGGCUCUCCGAGGUGGCUUGGCAAACAGCAAUAAGAAAGAAAAGUUCCUUAUAAGGCCUGCGGUUGGGAUGGGAACGUGGCUUUCUGGAGCUUCAGCUUCUUAUACGGUGGGAACCAAGGGUUUAAAGACUAGCCUAGGCAUGGCAAGUCAUUCGGGAUUGCACAACUCUUCCCCUGAGGUAUAGAAAAGGCAUUUAUUUCUCAGGCAUGAAAUAGCUUCCCAUCAUACCAUUAAAAGCAGCAGGUACUGAAUGUUCUCUGGAUCCUUUCAGACACUGUGACUGCCAUAGCACAAGGUUCUUUAGAGACCCAUAUUUGGGGGGAGGGGGCGGCUUUUAAAAUUUGUCCUGAAAGUGCAGGUCCAAUGGAUUUAUAUGUAGAUGCCCCCAAAUCAAACUAGUCAAUCUCUUGAUAUGUUUUGCUGCUUCCAGCAACAGGAUUUUUUUAUCGAACACCCAAAAUGCCUCAUUCAGGUAGUUUUUUCUGCACUAUACGGAACGAGCCCAUCUAUUCUCAGGCCUAAAUGUCUGUAAAUGUAGUAAUUACAAGUUACAUAAAAAAAAAUAUUCUAUGUGCUGUAACUUAGUCUACUAGAAACCUUCACCGUAGGCUUGGCUAUUCUAAACAAAAAGUGUUGCAAGGAAACGUUCCUUAGAAUGCUUUGAACUGUGGGGCUUGUACAAUCGCCUGACAAGCCCAGGAGCAAAGGCUGGCAAAUGCAAAGCUACUUAUGGCUCCCACAGGCUGCAUGAGCAACUGGCUGUCGUCUCUUAGGUGAAGUUCUUAGGAAAAUAAAAUGCUCACUGCACAUCAAAUAAACAUUGUUCCUUGUUUACGUGGAAGCUCUGCCUUGGCCACUGCCUGGCCUGCAACUCAUGCAGAAAACGAGGAAUAUAUUCUCCAUAUGCUGCCUGCUGAAUGAGGCAAGGCUGAAUAAUGAAGGAGGCGAGGAUCCAAGUAACUGGGAAGUGGGAAAUCGCUCCUCGCACAGGGAUGAUAAAAAUAAAUCUUGAGCCAUUCUGUCAUCUGACCUUUAGGCUGAAUGACGAAGAGAUAUUGAUGGGCAGAAAGCAUGUUAUUAUGUCAUUCAUUAGAGAAUGUAUUGUAACACAGGCCUGAGAUUGCAUUAGUGAGCAUGACUUUGUCCUGACUCUAGAAUAUUUCACAUAUUAAUAAAUAUAUUUGAACACCUUUUCUUAUGACUAAAAAUCAGCACUGUCAGCAUUUCCUCUAUAUUGGUGCUUACAACAUGAAACUGUUGGCUUGAUUUUUAUGAUGAAUCUUUUUCAACCAAAAUAAAAGCAUAAUUGGUUCUUUUCCUGUCACCCAUUUGAAAAACUCUUUAGCAUAUUCUUUUUCAGAUUAUUAAAGCUACAUUUGACAUAAAUUUGCAAAAUUUCUUUAUUCAUGCAAAGCAUUGUACAUGGUGCUUCUAAUUAACUGCCAUUGUAUGAAGAAAGUCUCUUACAGUGAUACACGGAAUCAGUAAGUAAGGAUACUUACGGCACUGAUGCUUAUGGAGCUUCACCAGGAAGUUUAACUCUGUCACACAUCCUGCCUCACAGUGUCAUGCUUCCUGUUGACUCCCUCUCAAAGGGAGACAGGAAUCAGUUGUAAGGGGCAAGGAAAAAAACAAAAGCAAGCUGGAUUGAAGCUGAGUUAAUGCUGUCCUUACUAGACAUACUGUUUACAGUGAUUAUCUUUAAAAAAAAUAAAUGCAUACACCUAAAACGCAGUUUAUUAGCUCAAGCAGAAUGCAAAAAACAUAAAAAGAAAGUCACGUAAGUGCAAUACUUUAAAUACUUCUUUCACGUUUAUGCUGUUCUCACCCUUCAAGAGCCCCCUAAAAGAAUCUCUUCGUAGUAUAUCUGCAAACCCCAGAGGUAAAUGAGCUAGCUGAAGAAGAGCUAACCCUGCUGUCAGCAGUGGUAUAGUGACAUGAGUGUGGGAUUCCACCUGUUCCUGCCUAGAAGGCAGGCAAACGAGGCAGGACAGAGCACUGGGCAGAAGAGCUGGAUUUAGAGCCGGCUCAAUCACAUCUGUAUGGCAUUGCACUGUACAUUUACCUAAAUAAAAGUUUUUUAAGUUUCUAGAUGUUCCUUAACAUGUUCCUUCAGUUUUUUAAGAUAUUCCUCAAGUUCUGCAUGUCAGAACUGUGCAGGCUGCAGCCUGUGACUGACUUAUAGCUCACCUUAGUCUGUCUGAUGGUGGGUGGAAUCACCAUCCCUGGAAGCAUUUAAAAAAUGCAUAGAUGUGCUUAGAGGCAUGGUUUAGUGGUGGACUUGGCAGUGCUGGUUUAACCAUUGGGCUUGAUAUUAAAAGUCUCUUCCAACCUAAAUGAUUCUAUGUGAGCUUAGAAAGAAGUAAACACACUUUUGGAUGAGGACAUUGUAGGGAGGUGGCAUGAAAAGAAAAAACAGGCACUGCGUAGUGGGAGAGUGGAGGAUGAAGGGAGGCAUGGGAAAGGGCAGAUGUGGAUAAACUAAAACUUUAGGGGGAAAAGCUAGAGGCAAGAAGGGACAUAAGGGGUAUGUGACUGAUGUGUGAUGGCAGGGAGAAGCACAAAUUCAAUCUGUAGAAGUGGAUCCACAUUAAAGAUGCGGAUAUACCAAAUAGGAAAAUGGGGAAAGGCUGGACUGGCGUGGUGGAUGUGAUGUGUACAGGGGCUUUUUACUCCUUGCCCCGCAACAUGCAUAACAAUUUGGAUGCACUGGAUAAACUGUGAGUCACAUGCUGUAGGAGCACUGGACUGGAGGAAGAAGGCUAAUGUCACUGAGCAUAGGCCUAACCAAACUGUCAUAGUUGUAGGACUAAAACUGUUAGCCACAGAAUCAUAACAGUAAGCUGAGCAUCUCCUGUGAAGGUCUAGUGCCCAUAUUUACAAAUCUUCUUUCAGGCCUUGAGGAAAGAGAGUCAUGUUUCCAACAGAAGCAAGCAACUGGUUGUCUUCAACAGCCCACCCAUGUUUUGAAGUUGUGCCCAUCUUCUCUACAUAGUCAUCCUCUGCUGCUUCCCGAAUCUGGACCACAUGCAGUCUUUCAAGGGUGGUUGCUGAAGAUGCAUGUGCCAUUCUAUGUGGCUUGGAUUUUUAUUCUCUUCUUUUUACUUUUCUUUAGAUCUAUACUUAACUAGAAGUGUUUCCAAACUGACAGGAGUAAACAGAAACUUCUCCAUUCCUGCAAAUUUCUGUCUUCCAGCUACCACAUGUAGCAUGACCAGGUACUAAUGGAGGUGAGCUUGUCACUCAAGAAGCAAUGCUACUUGGAACAGUGCAUAACAGAUCAAACAGAAUUUAAAAUAAAAAAUUAAGAAACAAGAUAGCAGUGCUCCAUGACCUUUGUAUUUGAGACAGGCACUGCACAUCAAGGUUUGCCACUCUGUGGCACCCACAUGGUAUUUGUGUCUUCUGGAACAGAAGAUGAAAGAUACAAAUGCUGCUGAGUCCUCACUGCCCUGGGGUGAUAUUGCAUUACCUAUACCUCAUGAAUUUCUUUCCAGGUAGCCUGCUUGCACAAGCACAAAAGCAUGCUAGCAGGCACCUUGCCCGUGCUGGAGAGACAAUACUGAAAGGAGGAGCGUGAGGCAUGAGCUGCAUGGCAGUGCUUCCAGUCCUCCGCAGCAAAUAAGGGAGAGGCUCUCACAGCUCUGGUUCUUGAACUUGUCCCCAAGUUCAUUGUCAGUGAUAUGCUUCUUCCCCUUUAUGAAAGUCACUCUUGUUUACAGCUUGUCCUUGAACUGAGGGGUUCUUUUUAAGGGGAGUGGAAAGAAGGGAACUGGUUUCUUAUUCUGGUGAGGAGUAGUGUCAUUGGCUGUGGUGUCUCUCUCCAUCAUUUUCCCAUCUCUGUCUUUCCAUCACAGGAUGAUUCUAGCUAACAUGAGUAGAAAGUCCCUGCCUGCUUCCACUAACAUCUGUCUGCUAAUAUCCUUCAGGCUGUGAACCCCCAGGACAGGGCUUGUCCACCCCAGAGGAUCUGGAAAGUGCUUUGAAUAUCAUAGGCACUGGUAGUCUAGAAAUAGUUUGGUGAGAAAUGAAGAAGGCCAGAACAGGUAAAGACACUGGGAAGCAUAUAAAGCAAAAGUGAGAAAGCAAGGGUGGGAGUUGUUCCCAGUGCUGGUACAACAGGGAAAUGAAGUAGGCUAAGCUAGUUAUUAAUAAUUCUAGUUCAGAAAACAGAAGUUCUUAAAUGUGGGAACAGUGAAGACCUGUAACAGACUUAAAGCUAGAGUAUUGGUGGGACAUAAACAGCUUAAAAGAUAAAGAUUGGUAUACAAGGGACCAAAGUCACCAGGAAUGUCUUGCCUACUCAUCUAUUCUUAGAAGCAGGAAUGCAGAAAUGCUAAAUGCAAGAUAUAAAAUGAAAGAGGAGAGAGAGGAGGAAUGAAUGAGUAGAUUAAUUUGCACUGGAGGGAAAACUUUCAAUGAAGUAUUUGAAAUAAGAGCAAGUAAAGCAUUUAUUAAAAUUUGCUUAGGUUUCAAACACUCAUUUUACACCAUUACAAAAACACUGAAUAUGGAGAAACAUUUGGGCAACAGCUCAUAUGCACAUAGUGACAGAAAUUUACACUGAAAAUGCUUCAAUUGAUUGGGUGCCAGAAGAGUUAAAAAAUCUAUCAAAUGUUCUGCAGAAACAUUUAAAGCUAGUAAAUAACUUAGCAAGCUGAAUACACUAGGAUAAGCCAAAGCUAAAAGUUCAUUCUUUCAAGGCAAGAUAGAGAAUGAAUAGUUUCCUCCAGUAAGGGAAGGUUCAGCUUAUCAUAAGCACUAGGGAGCAACAGUGAUAAGUCAUGCAGUGGUUUGUGCAAACCAACAGAUUCAGAAAUGACAAUUGUGCAAAUGAAGUGAUUGUCAUCAAAACCGCCAAAUUCUUUCUGGCAGCAUCUGCUGUGAGAGGGUAGAGAGAGGUCAUGUAUGACAAAGUCAUCAAGAUACAUCAGAGUCCCUGGGAUUCCAGCCAGGGUGAAGGCAAUUUUUUGAUAGCAUCUAGAGGCUGAAUCCAACUCAAAGGACAUUCAUUUAUAAUGCAAACAUCCUUUAUGAAAGUCAGGUUGGUUUAUUUAUAAAUACCUAGAGCCAUACUGCAUCCACAGUAACCUAGCUGUGCUGUGAACCUACCAUUCAUAUUCAAAUCAAACCAUCAAUGCAUGCACAAGGAAUUCUGUCAUUGCAUUUUAUUUUCUUAAAGACUUGCCAGGAUGUUACAUGUACUUCUGUCAUAUUGUCUGCCUUCUAUAGAGAAAUAUACAUUCACUAGAAAUCCUUGUUACAGUGACUAAGCCUAUGAGAGCAAGGAAUGUCGGGAAGUCAGAAAAAAGACCACUAAUUGCUAACAACAAUUAUUUUUUCAAGUUGUCCAUAUUGUAUAGCAGAUAACAGAGAAACUUCACUGCAACAGCAAAUCAAAGUGGGUAUGUUAAGAUUUCUAACAAAGCCGAGACAAGAGAUAUUCUAAUAUUAUUGUAUUACUGCCAUAACUAUAGCAAGGGUGGGGUAAGAGAGGCACCAACAGAAGAAAAUAAGUCCAAGUCCCCAAAAUGAUGGCUGCUGCAGGUGGAGGCAGCGUGAGGGUGAGCAGGAGGUAGCUACAAAUGAAAACAAGCACAGCAGGAGACAGAGGAACAGGAGCUGCCCCAAAAUAUCCUGCUACCAUUCUGCAAGGUAUAUAGUAUUACACAACAAUAAAUUCAGUGCUUUAAUGUACAAAUGAAAAGCCUACAUCAGUAAGCUGCUCCAGUAUAGACCAGGCCGGGUAUUUUACUGUGGACAACUGUGAAAGCAGCUUUUUCCAUUUAGGUAAAGUUGAUCUGGACUCAUCUGCUCUUCAACCAUUAAACAUACAGCAAAGGGUAGUAGUGUAUCAGCUUGAAAAAAUAUUUAAGCUAAAUAAUAUUACUUUCAUGUAGAGUAUAGUAUCAUGGUGUUAUCAAAAGGCAUAACUGGAGAUGAGGAUUGCAGGUGGUAUGCUGCUGGUCACUUAGGCCCACAGAAAGGGAUUUGCCUCAUAUGACUUCAGUCAUCUGUGAAAUGGGUGAUUAAUCUAAGUCAGUCACCCGCCCUCCUUGAUGAGGCAGUGGAGAGAGAUGCGUAGCCAUCUCCCCAUACCCACGUAUGCUCUGGCUGCCCAGGCUCAGCAUGCCAGCUUGCACCUCUGCCAAGUAGGAAACUUUCAUGGUCUCUCCAACUUCAGAAAUGAUGUGAGUGAUGGGCAGGUGUGGUCCCACCAGUGGGCUCCAACCUGCGCGAGUGGCUGAGACAGACACAAUUUCACGUGUCUCAGUGAGAAAGAAGCCUGCUUUCGGAUACAGUGGCCUGUGCUCCAGAAGCAGAGAGCUCGCCGUUUGCUGCAUUCCCACCAUUCACAUCUGCACCAACCCUCCAUAAGGCAGUAGGGGAGAUAGGACCGAGAUGGUGGGUGAAGGCCCCACAGCUCUGCCAGACCCGAGCUGCUGGGGGUUAUGUGCCAAAAGGAAAGGUCUCAAAGCUGACCCCUAAAUCUUAAGCUGAGAAUGCAAGACUGGCUGUUAAAAGGGAUAAAAAAGAUUUGUUUCCACUUGUAAAUGCAGCAUCAGUCCAACAACAAUCACUGAGAGAUGGUAAAUAUUGAUUCUGAAAGCAACAUUUAUACACAGGCACUGUGUUUAUACCAAGACCUCUGUUUAGAACAAUAAAUUAGUUACUCUGCGUUCAUGUGUGCUAAGGGUUAUUUGGCCAAAAGAAAUAUAUCAUAGGUGACAAUUCUUUACCUAGCAAGCAUUUUGUAUAGAAAAUAUAUCUAGUGUAUAAUUUGCAAAAUGUAGAAGAAUAUUUAAGGAUUGGCUUUCCCUUCCUUGGCAGAUACACAGUCUUUUCACAUUAUAUAAGUUACAUCAGGUUCUAUAAGAGACAUUAAACCUUAAUUAAUGCUAUAUUUUAAAACAUUUUACCCCCUUUUAACAAUAUAAAAUAGAAUCAUAGAAUCAUUUAGGGUGGAAUAGACCUUUAAAAUCAUCAGGCCCAACCACUAACCCAGGACUGCAGAGUCCAACACUAAACCAUGUCCCUAAGCACCACAUCUAUGUGUUUUUUAAACAUCUCCAGGGAUGGUGAUUCCACCACUUUCCCUGGGCAGCCUGUUCCAAUGCUUGACCACCCUUUCAGUGAACAAAUUUGUCCCAAUAUCCGAUCUAAACCUCCCCUGGCACAACUUGAGGCUGUUUCCUCUUGUCCUGUCACUUGUUACCUGGGAGAAGAGACCGACCCCCACCUGCCCACAGCCUCCUCUCAGGCAGCUGUAGGGAGCGAUAAGGUCCCCCUGAGCCUCCUUUGCUCCAGGCUAAACACCCCCAGUUCCCUCAGCUGCUCCUUGCAGGACAUGUGCUCCAGACCCUUCACCAGCUCCGUUUCCCUUCCCUGGACAUGCUCCAGCACUUCUACAUCCCUCUUGAAAUAAAUUUGGUGCUGAUGAAAGCCUGCACAACAUUUUGAUAAUGCAGAAAAAGAAAUGUGUUAAGCAAUAAAGAAAUGUUUUUCACCUUUUAGUUUUCAUAUAUUUCCGUAUUACAUUUGUGAUGGACAUGUUGCUUAGAAUAUUUUUAGGCAGAACUUUGUGUUUAAAUAACUUCAUCUCUCUCCCCACUUCAAAGCAUUUAAAAAUAUUUUUCAAUCACUGAGCUCAUUCAGUAACCUCAGUGUGUUGUAAUUAUUCUUCCAGUCUAAGCGCAAUUAAGAUAAUAAUUCUCAAGUCUGAGUAACUCUUUACAGCAUAUUUUAACAAAUACUUUAUAGAGUUAUGAAAUAAUUCAUAGAUAACAACUUUCAUGAAGUACUUGCUGACAUUUUAAUGCCAGCUUGUCACUAUGGACAGGACAUGCCUCUCAGCGCAAUUGGGACACUGCCCAGGUGAUUUAUAAUUGGGCCCUGGUUCCUCCUGCUGGGAUUGUCAUAUGAUGUCCAUGAAAAGGACAGUGACACACAUCAUUCUACAGUAACUGCCACAGAAGCUGCAUUUAGUGACAUCUGCACCUAUAGCCCUCCAGGUGAGGAUUUUGAGUGCAUGUGGGCUUAGAACAAGGAAAGAGCCAGAGAACUGAUGGUGUAGGGGAUGUUUUGUAUCAUCAGGGAAGUGCAUUUAGUAAGGGCCUUGAAAGGCAACUAAUACCAUUAAGGAAAAAAAAAAAGAAAAUUAAUUAUUAGGUACCGAUCGUGGAACCUGCUGACUAAGCUGUUUGUUUUAAUCAGUGCCUUUUGUUUCCUUCCACCCUGACUGCUAGAUUCAUCCUGCAGAGCAGAGGCCAGGAUGCCAGCUCAUGGCUGUCUCGCUGCAUGGCUGGCAGGAGGUGCUGAUACCGAGCUGAAACCAGCUUGCACCCUGCUUUUGGAAACCAGAUGCAUGGAUGUAAUUAUGCUAAUCAGUGGAGUUAUGCCCCUCCCACUUUUCCCAUCACUUGCAGCUGCAGUUCUUUUAUUGUAAUUGAAGUAGUAUUAUGUCACACUGGUUUUAAUUUUCCAUAAUACCCCCCACAGUUGGUGUGUGUCUUCAUAACUCAGGGCCCAUUUUAUAGAUGACUCACGUAAUGGUCAAAGUUAUUAAUUUAUUACAAGACUGCCUCCAAUCCCAAUUUUUAAAGUGUUCCUGCAUUGCUCACAGACUUAAAAUCUGGAGCCACUCACAUUACUUACUAGUCAAGCAAAAUAAUUGGAAGCGGUAGUGUAACUAUUGUUUUAUAGAGCCCCGGGCCAUGGCAUUGCAUGCUGGAGAGUCAGUGGCGCCUCUUGUCCCAUCUGGGUGGCUCAGGGCUUCCAGCCUUCGUCUGGGCCAGGAAGCACCUUUCCUCAUGAGCAGUCCCACAGGCUGCGAUGGGGUGACUCGGAGGUACGCCUCCGUGCCACAUGAGUCAGGACACCAGAAUGUGCCCCUUCGGUACUAAUUAAAGCCCGCUUCACACACAGGAAUAUACUUCCAAUUACCAUAGUAGCCCUGGAAUGCAUUGUGGGAUGUGGAGAAGAGCAGAAGCUAUUGCAGAAAAAAAAGUAAUUGGAGCGUUUAAAUGACAAGGCCCUCGUGAUUAGUCUGUGUCAUAUGAAUUAUCCCACAAUAACCCAGCUCCAGGUUCCAAAAUGGAUGCUCAUAUGAAGGUUUUUCCUUCCUGGACUUCCAAGAACCGGGCUUCUCAGCCGUCAAAAAAUCUGAGGAGAUCAGGCUUUUUUUGCUUCCUUGCUCCUGAGCUUCCCAUAUCACUGCAUGGUGAAGAGCCAGAGUUAUUGCCUGUUCAAAGAUAUUGAGGAAGAAUUUGUAAAGGACAAAUAAAUAUGUCAUUGAGAAUGCUGUCCUGGAAACAAAUCCAGAAAUCUCCUUCCAUGGGAAAUCUCAAAGUUUAGGUUUUUGUUUUGGAAUGACUGCUUAUUUUGGAAUUUCACUUGGAAUAGAGAUUCAAAGAAUCUGCCAAUUCAAGUCUCAGUCCUGAUUCUGUUGUUGCUCAUCUGUAAAAUUAAUAACUUCACAUCCUUUUUAUUAAUUUAUAGAAGUUUAUCAUCAAUUUAUCAUUACCCUUCCUCAUCCUUCCUCAAGUACUAUCCAAAGCACUCUUCAGGAGAGAAAUAAGGAGGAGACAGUCUAUCUGAAAGACUGCGCUGAAGCUCGGAAUGUUUAUUUUUCUACAGAGAGCUAGUUAUUUUGCUUUUUAUCCUACUUUGCUUAGGAAAAUACUGUAACAAGUCCUCCCACCAUUUUGCACCUCAAAGCUGUGAAUUCUAAUACCAUAGAUCUACUUCAACAAGAAAGCCUGUGCCAUCAGGUGGUCCCCAGUGUGCCCAGGACACGUGCAAGCAAUAAUCACAUCAGACUCCAUUUUCUGCAGGUACCUACCUACACUGACUUCAGAUGCACUUAAAUUCUGUUUGUCUUGCAGUGGUUUUGCUAUGAUUACUUAUAUAAAGCUGUGAUUGCACAUGGUGUCCACAGUCUGGUCUGUGCCAGCAAAACAAAGGGUCUCAACCCCAAAGAACAUUUUGAGUUUAGCCAUAAAAGCGAGCACAAAAAAGUUUAAUGUGUAGCCGACUAGCAAAAGGGUGUUGACACUUACAGUUCAUAUCCUUUUUGCUAAAUUGUUUACUUUUACAAGUAUUUAAACAAGCACAUCGUGACAGGUACACAACAACUAUUGAGUAGCUUUGUGUUUCUGAUACUGUCAUCAUGUAAAAACGAUGAAUAUAGAAAAUGCCGUUCCCUCCAACAGCAAACAAGGAGCAUUUUGAGUAAGCUCCUACAGAAAGCCCUGCUCUCCCUCUUUUGGCUUCUUGGUAAAGAGUUCUCCCAGAGACUCCAUCAGCCUUCCUCUUCCAAGUCUUCUCAGAGCAGACUCGAAGAAACAGAACAAAUCUCACUGCUGUAGCAGCCCCCGUUCCACUUUUGGACCCAAAGUAUAAACAAGCAGCACCAGAAUGUCGUCAGAAAGUAUCUGGGAAGCUAGGAUGGCCCAGUGUUGAGCCUUGGUAAAACACAUUGAACUGAGAGGUCACAACUGAUGGGCUGAAUGAGACCAGCCCAUGAGCCCAGAGCAAGACAGAAGCACGUUUUGCCCCAUCUGCAGCCCACCUACUUGAAUGGAUCUAGAAAGAAAAAAACAUAUAUAUCUUGUACUGCUCCAACAGAGUCUUCUCUUUUAGUUAUUUUGACACUACAUUUGCUUUGCUUUACCUUGUCCUGUGAUUUCUAUCACACUGAAGAAAUUCAUACUUGGAAUAAACAACUGUAUCACUGGGACUUUUUGGAAAAGGAAAGGAUUGAGAUAGCCAGCAGAGGAGGUCUAAUAUUUUUGGCAGACAGAAAAAUGCAGGAGUUAGCACAGCUUAUUAACAUCUUCAGGUACUUCACUAUUCCUAUUCAGGAAAGGGCACGCUUUAUUUCUUCCUCCCUGUUUUUGCUUGUUAUUCAGUAAAACAUUCUUGUAAUUAACAAAAGAGGCCCUCAGCAUAUGCUUGACUAAGCGUACACAUAAAUCCCUUCAUCUCAUAUGUAAAAACUUUCGAAACAGACAUGGACUUUUCUUACACAGGUCUGUGAGAGGAAGGAAAAGUCACUGUAAUUCUGUACAUGAAAUGUAGUUUGUCUGAAAAUACAACCUGGAGUACUGAUAAGUUGCUGUCCUCAAAAGGAGCUCAAAUUUUCUCCACUGUGUUUUUCACACUCUGUUCCUUUUAGAGUCAAAUCCCAGUGUCUUCUCUACACUACUGAAGUGUAAAUGUUUAACUUGGCAGUAUAUAUGAGUGAUAAACAAUCAGCUUUGUAAUUUAGUUGGUAAUAAAAGAUGACAAUUGAGCCUUUCACUUUUGCUAAUUUCCUUUGGGGGGGGUGGUCAACUGCUAAGUGCGAGCAUUCAUUCUAGGUAUGCAAAAAGAAUCCAAACCUUUACUGAAAGAGAGUGUGUUAUUUUUCUGGUUGAAGAUUAACUCAGUCAUAAGCUCUUUUUUCCCCUGAGAGUAAUAGCUUUCAGAUUUUUGAAAAAGUGCAAAAUAAAGCUCAGCAGCUAUUCUUCUGUAUGAACACCUGCUUUACUUUUCCUGAAGCUAAAGAUUAUUUUGCGCUGUAAUAAGUAUUCUUUGUCAUGAUAGCUGUAUGUAUAUAGCAUUUAGAUAAUUUUGAUUGUCAUUUGGAUUUGAUUACUUAAAAUUUGAGUUGUCUUUUUCAUUGCAUGCUUUCCUUUCUCACAGAUAUGUUUGGUAAAUAUAUAAACAUGCUGUAGUUAAACUGAAAAGCAGGCUAUUGCUUCAUAAUUCUGCAUAUAUAAAAAUAACGUGCAUGGCCUGCUGUAUGGCUUGGCUGGUGCUUACAUUCAGAAAAAGGCAGUACACAGAGAAACACGUGAUGUACAUGCAGAUACAAUGCAGACAUUACUUUUCAGCUUGUUAGGAAGGAAAGGAAUGAGCAUCAGGACAUUUCUAUGCAGAUCACCCAAUCCCUCUGUGUUUCUCUGUCCCUCUCACUAACGUGGAAUGAAACACACAUUCAUCUCAGGCUGAUGUCACAUUUACUCUCCAGUUAAUAUGUGCAAAGCACAAUAAAAUAGAAUAUGCUAGAGUAGGAAAAAGUAGAGUAGGAAACUGUAGAAUAUUCUUAUUUAUUCAUUGCCACAUCUGUGGCAGCCUUUUUGAGAACUAUUUAUCGAAUUAUGCCUUUAUAAUUAAAUAGUUAUUAUAUUACAAUGGCAUAGACCUGCAUGCUUUGUUUUGUUAUAUUUUUGUAGAAAUGUGAAAAGAUUAUGUCUUCUAUUAUUAUUAUUUUCUUCUCCACUGGUGUUAAUGCUAAUGGUUCUCUUAUGCUAUUGCUCUCUCUCAUCUCCAUGUACUCAGUAAAACUAAUGUAUAAAUGCACAGCUCUGGAAAUUAAUACUGAUAACUAAGACCCCAUAAAAGUACUUCUCAGGCAAGACUGUAAGGAGCACAGUAAUAGGUUAAUUUAGUGAACUCCUGAGGAAUUUCCCAGAUACUAUUAUUAAGAUGCUAUUAUAUUUUUAAGCUAGCUAAAAUUCACUUGUGUGCUUUUACUGCUGUUGUUUUUUUAUUUUUUUUAUGAGACACUUAAUCUAUCAGACCUAUAGAAGCGAGAAACGAAAGCUUUAGAAGAGGUUAACAUCUGAGAAUGAACAACCUAACUAUUACAGAAACACAACACAUAUUAUCUGUUCCUGAAAACCUGCCCAGUUGACCAGUCUGCUGAAAAACAUGUGAAAAUGUAAGAGGGAGUGACUGUCAGCAUCCCCAGGACACAGAAUAACAGCAAUAAUAUAAGAGUCUGCUUUGAGGUACCACAGCAGAAAAGGGACUUGUAAAUGGAUUACAGGAAGAUGACAUGAACUCAGGGGGCUGCUUCUGUGCAGAAGAGGAUGCCACAGAGGAACAUGUCAUGGAGAGAAAGAAGAGAAUAAGAUAUCAUCACAGAUAUCACAGAUAAAAGGCCUGCAAGAAAUGUAACCUAUUGGCAUUAAAUCUUAAUCUUCCUGACAGGUGUUUGCCUAAUAAGACAUGAAGAUUUGUUGAUUUUCAGUUCAGUUUAAAGUUGGCGAGGUCUUCUUAACACAAAACGUAGAACUUGCUUGAAUGAAUACAUUCCCUAGCCCAGUACCUGUAGCUGAAGCAGCAAAUAUCUCCUAGAAAAGUCUUUCAUUUGGAUUUUGAAGUUACUUGUGAAGGAGAAGCAAUCUUUGGCAAGUUGUCCAGGGGUUAUUUUCCUUCCCACUUAAGACAGUUUAAAAGAUCUAUCAGGACAACUCUGGGAAGCUUGUGUUAUCCUUUAAAGUUGUUUUCACACUGUGUCCUCCUUCUGGCUUGUUACUUAAAUGGCAUUUUCAUAAACAUUGCAUUUCUCUUUGCGUAUUCUCAGCCUGUAAAGACCUGAGCUGAGUAAACUAUGCAACUGUCACAAAUGACAGGACUGCAGCUGAAGACAGCAGCAAUAACAUCAGGCUCUGCACACAAAGUCCUAUUUUAAAUUUUUUGCUUUGUUGAGAAGGGAGGGGGUUCCUAUGGCCAUAAUGAAGUGGUGGCUGGCUGCAUGCUACAAAUCAUUUCUCAAGCAAAUUUUACCCAAGGUUGUGCUUAAGGUUUUCUUACAGCCUUGCAUGGAAGAAGUCAAGUCCGCCACACAGGGACAAUAGUUCAUUAAAAAAUUUAUACAUAUAUAUACAUAUAGAUAGAUAGAUAUGAUAUGAUAUGUCAUCUUUAUGACCAAAAGGAUAAAAAACCCCUUUCUCCAGAGAAACAGGCAUAUGAAAAUAAUAUACUGCGAUUUGUACAACAGAGCUCUAAUCCAUCUGUCCUGGUUUCAGCUGGGAUGGAGUUAAUUUUAUUCUUAGGAGCAGCUCGGUGCUGUGUUUUGGCUUUGAUGUGAGACUUCUCAGCUCCUCAGGCCCUGUUAGUGAGAGGGCUGGAGGGGCACAAGGAAUUGGGAGCCAAUUUUGCUCUCCUGCAGCUGGGGAGCAGGCUUAGAGCUGAGGUUCUCGGCACCUGCUGCACAGAAACCCCCGAGCCCGGCCCCGUGCACACCUACAGUGUACACCUAUAGCUAGCUGCUAGCUAUGGGAGGUUCCCAGCCUCCACAGGCACACAGCCAGGGCAGCUGACCCAACUAGCCAAAGAGGUGUUCCGUACCAUGGGAGGCCAUACCUGGUAUGUAUACCUGGGGGGCUGGCUGGGGCAGACAGAUCAUUUCUGGGAGGAUUAGCUGGGCACCGGUCAUUGUUAUUCUUCUACUUUCAUUUUUAUUCUGUUUCAAUUAUUAUAUUGUUCUUAUCUCAUCCCUUGAGUUUUACAUUCCUUUCUAACACUCCUCCCCAUCCCACAGGGUGAGGGGGGAGUGAGCAAGCGAGUGAGCGCUAUGUGGUACUUAAUUACCAGCCGGGGUUAAACCAUUUAAGCCAGAAUCUACAGGAAUCCGUGGGAACCUCCCAUAGCUAGCAGCUAGCUAUAGGUGUGCACUAUAGGUGUGCACUAUAGGUGUGCACGGGGCCGGGCUCAGGGGUUUCUGUGCAGCAGGUGAUGAGAACCUCAGCUCUAAGCCUGCUCCCCAGCUGCAGGAGAGCAAAAUUUCUGUAGUUUACUACAGCACAGAAGUGAGGUGUUCAUGUCUCUGAAGUCCUGCAACAAGCUUCCCAAGAUCUUAUUAUGGCACUCAAGAAACAGUGGGAAACAAUACUCCAAAAUAAUGUUUAAUUUCAUCAUUGAAUCUUUCUGCAAUGAGGAUUCAGUCAUUCAUUAUUAACUAAAAAAAUAGAUUAAAAUGUGUCCACCACUGAAAUCAAAACAAAGCCUUUAAGCUAAUCUCAGUAAUAAACAGUCCAGUGGUUUCUUUCAGGUCUGAAAAUUUAUGUGCUGUAGCAAAAAAAAUUAUUUAAAAAGUUAAUUAGCUCAGUACGGUUAAUUGAUGUGUUCUGCAGUGUCCUUAGAAUUUAAAUUCUGUAAUUUUAAGUCAUAAAUUAAAUAAAAUUAAGAAACAUAUUUUAAUUCUUAAUCCCAUUAAACAUCCACUGUAUUUUAAGCAUGAGGGAGCCUGAAAUUCACAGUAGACAUUUAAUGAAUAAUCAGAUUUGGAGAUACAAUUUGUCAUAGCCACAGAAAGAGCUUGGUAAAAACUAAGCCUGACAAGUUAACUAAAUGAGUCUGGAUAUAUUGGAUGGCAAUAAUACUUGAUGGCAUUUAUGUAUUGGUUUUUCUGUUUAAAAUUUAUUUUGGCAUAUAGAAAAAAACAUAAGGGACAAAUAAGAAAGUCUAUAGUGUAUAGAAUUACCUCGACAAAAAUGUUAUUUCAAUAUUUAGUACCUACUGGAUGCAAUUCUUCAUGCUUUUUAUACAAAAUUUCCUUCUCAGAAAACUCAGCCAAUACUUAAAAGCCUAUUUUCAUAAAUGGCUUGGCCUUACAAGCCUUUAACCUGAUGAGUCAUUCCAGAUCAUGCUAAAGCUUACUCAUGAGGAGGAAUGUAAUUUUUGAAUCCUUAGCUUCUGACCUCACAAAGUAUGAUGCAAACUUUACUACCACGAGUGCGAAAACGAAGUGCAGUAUCAGGGUGCUGGAAUCCCUUGCUUGAAGAGACAGAGGUCUUGUGCUCCUUCAUGGGUAGCUCCUCGCUGGCUACCACUUCCAUCCAUGUGAAAAGCUGCUGAAGUGGAGCAAGUGCUUGCCAGACCCAGCCAUAAACUGUGCUAUCUCCUAAAGGGCCUCCCGUGGCAGCAUGAGGAGUCUUCUCCAAACUGACUAUGUAGCUCCAAACUUUCAUUAUUUUUUUUUUGCAGAAGGUUAGCAUUGCAGCUGACUGCCUUGCAGAAGCUGAAAUCCAUGCUUUCACAAAGAUCAUGAGAUGUUUAUGUCUCUCUCUCCCUGCCUCACUCCGUACAGAUGGACAGAUACACAUGGACGCACCCAUCCAUACCAUAUAUACAUAUACCUAUGGGUGUAUGGGUGUAUGCAUGCGUAUGUAUAUACACAUUAAAGGUGGGUUUGUUUGCUUUCUCUUUUUUCCGGCUUCAGGAAGCCUGCAGCUUCAAAUACUUCCAUGAUGGUUGCCAAGUCAUCCUUUGACAGGAGAGGAAGGGAAAGAGGGGAGAAUAUCAUAGAAUCCCAUGACUCAGGAAGCUGGGACUCAAGAUAAAAUCUUGUCACUCAUAAAGAACUUGUGAACAUUGGCAGCGACUGAACCAAGCCCACAGCACAAGUUACCAAUGCUUACAUGGGUUUCCAUUUUGAACUUUUGUAUUUUGAGGUAAAUUUUUGCUACUAUGAAAGAGCAGCUAAUAGGAAACUUCAUCUUUCUAUAACAUUAUAGAAACUGUCACCAUUUAAGUAUUACUGAACUUUCAGACUAAUAAUUGACUACCCAUUACUUCACUAAAAAUAGUAUUUUGGUGUGAUUGCCAGUAAAGAUUUGUCCCCUGGCUGGUGGUUUGUUACCUUACAGCAAAAGGUAUGUUUUCUAGGAGUUGUCCCAAGUCAAUCUACAGAGUGCCAGGUCUUUAGUAGAACCACGCAGCCACAAAACCUCCCUGCAGCUGUUGCCUUUGCAGUAGACCCUGUCCAGAUCCUCCCUCCUAGCAUGAAGAAUGCAACAGAAGAUACAUUGCAGCCUCAGAUGCUCUAUUCUAUAGGUAAUUUUUCUGCUGGAAUCAAAGCUGACAGUGAACUCCAAUUCCUUUUCAUGCUCUUUCCUUCUAAUAGCUCCCUGACUGCAGAUGAGGGCUUUUCCUACUGUUCUGGAGGAGAGACUGUGGUGCUGGGGAGAUGAGUGGUACUUUCUCCGCUCACACAUAAUGCUCCCAAGGCAAAGCAUUUACCCCUGUUCUUCCGCCGUGUAAAAACUAGGGGCUGCAUUUGUAAAUAAAGCAAGCGCUGAGCCUGGAAUGGGAGGUUCAACAUCCUGCUGGAAAGUCAGCAGUUUUAGUCAUGGUGUAAAAUCUCCCGUGACAGCAUUCCUUUCUGAAACCUGAUCCGGGAGAGAACAGUUUACAGAGCUGAAGAGAUGCCAGGCAAUGAUCUACGGCCCUGGCCUUCCUGAAAUGUAUUCCUCCCCAGCAUCUGUAAGCUGUCAAGUCAUCCAUGUAGUCCUCAUGCAUGUGUAAUACAUCCUUGAGCCAUGACUUUUCUGUGGUUCAAAGCCAUGUUUUCAUGUGGCUCUGAGCGCUUUAACUAUGCGCAAUGUUGGGAUACAGGUCCAAACAAAAUAAUUUUAUAUUGGCUUCCUUAUUUUUCCUUAUGUUCUGCUUGGCUGAGUGAACAGAAACGUUUGGGAACCACCCCCAACAAACUUUUUGUAAGCUGAAAGUCUGAGUUCUACACCUAAGCCCAGGCAAUCCCAUGACUAUGAGUGUAAUGAGGACGAAACAUCUGAAGGAUGUCUUCAGCAGUUUCCGGGAAGUUUGGAACUGCCAGAAGAAUUGCAAAAUUUUAAAAAAACGGGGUACUCUUUCUGUUCAAACCUGUUAUUACAUACAGUAAAAUUGUUUUUAGCUAAAUAAAUCUAGAAACCUUUAAUGAUUUGGGAAACCUCCAGGUUUCUUCCAGGUUUUGGAACCAGAGGUGGGGGAACGAGGGAGAGAAGACUCCUCUGUGGAAACUUGGGCAUUUGGACUUGUACCAGCAUUAAUCUGAUUCCCAAAGGAAUUGUAGCCUAAAUCAUGAACGAACUAAAAACCGAAAGAGAUGCUUGCCCACGGCAGCAAAGGGGAAGUUGGACAACAGUGAAAAGCCAUAAUUUAUAAAAUACAACCCAGAAACAGAAAUGAAAGAGACAGCGGAAGACCAAAAAAGAAGUGCACACCCAAGAGCCUGUACCCAGAAUGCCAGUACUAAUGAUAACAUAGGCUACCUGAAAGGACAGGAAAAUCCAGACAUCCACCUACUCCUUCUUCAUAUCAUGUAACAUAUGACUCAGUUAAGAUGGAGAAAAUAUCUAGAGCUGUCUGAAGAGCAAAGAGAGGCAGCUAAUCAUCAAAUUAUUCUAGCUCUUCCAGAAGAGAGAUUUUAAAAAGAUGGAGAAGACACACCACAAGCACAUAAAGCAGGAAGAAGCAGAUGGAGGUGCUUUCAAAUUUUAAGGCAUUUAAUCAAAUUCUACCACCAGCAUUUCAUCCUGCCUCAUCCUGCAAGUUGAUCUCCAUGCACAGAUGUCUCUGACUUUGGUGUCCUUUGAGGAUCAGGGGCCCAGGCAGCAACCGGAAUCCACAGCGCCUGACGUGUGCCCUCUUUGCAUGCUUCAUCUGUUGCUCUGUUCAGCUUGUAAACUGAGAUCAACAGCAUCUCACAGAAAUGCCCUCCUAUGCCACAGGGAUAUCUGGGUUCCAUAUGCAUUGGCAGGUAACCUGGGACUGAAUAAACUCUGGCCCAGAAUUUCAGGUGGAGGUGUCUGUGGCUGGGCUUCUGAAUCUGCAUGGAGACAACUGGAUUAAUGAUCAAGUGUGCUGAUCAUUUUCCAAUUGCCAUGUAAAUCACUCGUACUUCACCAGUCUGAGUAUUAACUAAUAUCUUCUCACCCAGGCACGAUACCCAUGAUGCCCAUCAUUGCAAUAUCGUUGGAUGCGCUCAUCAGAAAAGAUGCUCAUCACAUAGAUGAGCAUACCACCAUUUUUGUAGAGUCCCAUUUAACUGAAAGAACAGAUUUACAAUGAAGUUUCAACACUCAGAAAAGCUUUAGGAACUUAAGAAUGUAGUCUGUGUAUCUUUGGGCUAAACAACAUAUUUGGUUACUCAGCACUCUGUUCAGGCCCAUUCAUUUAGUAUUUCUUCCUCUUUUCUCUGCUUUCUAAUGCAUCAGUGGAUUGCUUCUGCAGUUAAGGGUGCUUUUGCAUUAGAUGCCUCCUCUUCCAGCAGAAAAUUUGACAUACAGAAUUUACAACACAAUGAGCAGCUAUCUAGCAUGAUAUGUGGGUACCACACUAUGAUAGUGUGUCAGCAGUCUUGGUUUUCUACCAGACUGUCAUUGAGAGGAGUUCUGCAUUACAAAAUUCUAGCAUUGCUGAAUCAGUGUGGAGUACGGGGGAAUAAAUAUCACACACCUUGCUGUCACACCAAACACCUAUCAGCUACACCAGAAAUUGUGCCAGGUCACCAAACGAUGAGGCAGCAAAAGUACUGUACUGGUAGCAAAAGGGGGCUGUAUUGCUGCAUCCUUAGGGAACGAAUCUGUAAAGUCUGGAGCAUACUAGCAAGGCAUCUAAAAAAGACAUGCUCCGACUGACAAUAUACUCUUAUGCACAGAGCUAACCUGGUGUUGAAGUCUUCUGCUAUCUUGGACUUUGUGGCAGGAUCGAGCACUUUGUGCUGUAUCUCCCAAGUCUGCUAUGUCCCAGCAUGUAGCACCACAUGGGCACAGGGCACGAGGACACUGAUAAUGCAUUAGGUCAAGUAACAGUCUGUCACCCAACGCACAGUCUGCCACUAUGCUAUAGCUGCACAACAUCCGUGUCUAGCCAGCCUCUAGGUGCCUUCACCUUUUAUAGAUCAAACCUAUAUGCCAGACACAUCUAAUUAGGUCAUUCCAGAUCAGACCAGCCCACUCUGUCUGGUGCCAGGAUCACGGCAGCAGGGAGGAGCUAAGAUACAGCAAUUGCAUGACAUUGAUGUAGCAGUAGGGAAACACGAAGCGGUGGUCAAAUGAAUGAAGCUAAUGCUUACUGCAUGCAACUUUCUGGGAUGUAACCACAGCAACAGUUCACAUUGUAGUUCACAGUAGUGACACUACAGCUAGCACUAUUGACAGUAAAAUACUGCAUCAUUUCUUUUAUUAGAGGAAACCGGUAAACCAAAACCAUACAGUGUGUCAUG